GAUGAACGCUAGCGGCAGGCUUAAUACAUGCAAGUCGAGGGGUAACAGGUCUGUAGCAAUACAGAUGCUGACGACCGGCAAACGGGUGCGGAACACGUACAGAACCUUCCUUCGAGUGGGAGAUAGCCCAGGGAAACUUGGAGUAAUAUCCCAUAGGAUCAUAGAGUGGCAUCACUUAGUGAUUAAAGAUUUAUCGCUUGAAGAUGGCUGUGCGGCUGAUUAGGUAGUUGGUGUAGGUAACGGCUCACCAAGCCUUCGAUCAGUAACUGGUGUGAGGGCACGACCAGUCACACGGGCACUGAGACACGGGCCCGACCCCUACGGGAGGCAGCAGUAAGGAAUAUUGGGCAAUGGAGGCAACUCUGACCCAGCCAUGCCGCGUGGAGGAUGAAGGUCCUCUGGAUUGUAAACUUCUUUUAUUUGGGAAGAAAUGCCGAUUUUCUAAUUGGUUUGACGGUACCAGAUGAAUAAGCACCGGCUAACUCCGUGCCAGCCGCCGCGGUAAGAC
rnacentral:rRNA from 1 species